UACGUAGGGUUCAAGCGUUAAUCGGAAUUACUGGGCGUAAAGCGUGCGCAGGCGGUUUUGUAAGUCUGUCGUGAAAGCCCCGGGCUCAACCUGGGAAUUGCGAUGGAGACUGCAAGGCUUGAAUCUGGCAGAGGGGGGUAGAAUUCUACGUGUAGCAGUGAAAUGCGUAGAGAUGUGGAGGAACACCGAUGGCGAAGGCAGCCCCCUGGGUCAAGAUUGACGCUCAUGCACGAAAGCGUGGGGAGCAAACAGG
rnacentral:rRNA from 1 species